rnacentral:rRNA from 1 species
CGGCCCCCACUCCUACGGGAGGCAGCAGCAGGGAAUCUUGGGCAAUGGGCGAAAGCCUGACCCAGCGACGUCGCGUGGAGGAUGAAGGCCUUCGGGUUGUAAACUCCUUUUCCCAGGGAAGAGAGAGGACGGUACUUGGGGAAUAAGCCCCGGCUAACUACGUGCCAGCAGCCGCGGUAAUACGUAGGGGGCAAGCGUUACCCGGAAUUAUUGGGCGUAAAGGGCUCGUAGGCGGCUUGACAAGUCGGCCGUGAAAACCCAGGGCUCAACCCUGGGACGCCGGUCGAUACUGUCAUGGCUAGGGUCCGGUAGAGGGGAAUGGAAUUCCCGGUGUAGCGGUGAAAUGCGCAGAUAUCGGGAGGAACCCCAGUAGCGAAGGCGGUUCCCUGGGCCGGUACCGACGCUGAGGAGCGAAAGCGUGGGUAGCAAACAGGAUUAGAUACCCUGGUAGUC